UUGUGCUAUCAAAGCCCUGCUUCUCACUGCACCUCUCUCCACAUCGCCCUGAAGACAGGCCACGCCAUGGGUUAGCUCUCUCUGUCGGCAUAUAGAGCUUUACUGAAGGCAGGGGGCCUGACUGGUCAGCAAAGAGGCAAAGUCAUGAGCCAGAAAGGAAGUUGAGGGUAGGACUUAAACUCCAGAGGAUUGGAGAAGUUUUGGAAUGUGGAUAUGACAAGAGUAAAACCCUGCCCAGCUGCUGAACCAAGGAUCACAGGCCGGAGGAGGCAUUCUGUAUGACCAGGAGUUUUGCUACAGACGGCAUGGACCCUUAAGAGGCAGGGACAGCGGAUGCCACGGAAUCCAGUCAAGGGAGCUGUAACAGCAAGAUCCCGGCUAGACCAGACCCAAGCCUAGCGUAUCUGCCUGAGAAGCCCAGGGAAGCCAGAGAGCCUGCUGAAGACAGAGCGACAACUGGUUGUCAUCAGGUAUCCAUGGAGCACCAGCCACGCUAGCCCAUAGGCGCUGGAAGAAGGAUACUUCAUUCUUUUAAUCCUAAAUGAGCACUAGGUGCUGGGGAUACCAGGAAGAGAAAAACAAAAUUGUUCUUUCGUGGCUUAUGUUCUGAGACGAGGAAGGUAUGGAAAUCAAAUGUGCACAACGACAACACAUCAGAACACAAGCUGUGAAGGAAGCGGGAAGAGAACGCAGAGCCACGGAUAUUGAGAGCGUGCUGGACACCUCUUCUCUUCCAGACACUUCCAAUUAAAGCAAACGAACCACAACUCGAGGUCAAGUGUGGGGCUGUGACUCCUUGGCAGCUGCCUUUCCCGGCACAUACUUCACAGGCAUUGGGCUCCCCAUGGAGGAGAUUCAGAGUUUCUAAUGGAUGCAGAUGACAGCAAACCAAGUCGCUGGUCCUAAGCAAGCAGUUAUAGGCUAAAAGGACAAGAGAUCGGAAGGUGUGAGGACCCCGUGUGUGUUGUCCGGAGACCAAUCAGAUGGCAGAAGAAUGCAAGGCGCGUUAGCUCUAAACUGUAUUUGGCCAGUGGGAUCUGAAUAUGGAAUCAGACUCUUCAUGGAGCAAAAACUAGAAGGACACAGAUGCUCUCGUAUUAUAUAUCUAUACAUAGUGGCUAUAGAGAUACAUAUAUAUGGAUGUUUAUAUGACCAAACUGGUCAAUGUUUCCUGAAAUAGACCCAUGAUACCAAAGAA